rnacentral:rRNA from 1 species
CACAAGCGGUGGAGCAUGUGGUUAAUUCGAUGCAACGCGAAGAACCUUACCAGGCCUUGACAUCCUCGGAACUUUCCAGAAAUGGAUUGGUGCCUUCGGGAACCGAGAGACAGGUGCUGCAUGGCUGUCGUCAGCUCGUGUCGUGAGAUGUUGGGUUAAGUCCCGCAACGAGCGCAACCCCCGCCUUCAGUUGCCAACGGUUCGGCCGUGCACUCUGGAGGAACUGCCUGUGACAAGCAGGAGGAAGGUGGGGAUGACGUCAAGUCCUCAUGGCCCUUAUGGGCUGGGCUACACACGUGCUACAAUGGCGGUGACAGAGGGAUGCAAUACCGCGAGGUGGAGCAAAUCCCUAAAAGCCGUCUCAGUUCGGAUUGCUCUCUGCAACUCGAGAGCAUGAAGUUGGAAUCGCUAGUAAUCGCAGAUCAGCUCGCUGCGGUGAAUACGUUCCCGGGCCUU